rnacentral:rRNA from 1 species
CCUACGGGAGGCUGCAGUGAGGAAUAUUGGUCAAUGGACGAGAGUCUGAACCAGCCAAGUAGCGUGAAGGAUGACUGCCCUAUGGGUUGUAAACUUCUUUUAUAUGGGAAUAAAACGUUCCACGUGUGGGAUUUUGUAUGUACCAUAUGAAUAAGGAUCGGCUAACUCCGUGCCAGCAGCCGCGGUAAUACGGAGGAUCCGAGCGUUAUCCGGAUUUAUUGGGUUUUAAGGGAGCGUAGGUGGAUUGUUAAGUCAGUUGUGAAAGUUUGCGGCUCAACCGUAAAAUUGCAGUUGAAACUGGCAGUCUUGAGUACAGUAGAGGUGGGCGGAAUUCGUGGUGUAGCGGUGAAAUGCUUAGAUAUCACGAAGAACUCCGAUUGCGAAGGCAGUUCACUGGACUGCAACUGACACUGAGGCUCGAAAGUGUGGGUAUCAAACAGGAUUAGAUACCCUGGUAGUC